rnacentral:lncRNA from 1 species
UUUCAAGCAAUUGAAGACGCAAAAGAGGAAGAGAUGAUAAGAAGGUGCUCAUAUAUUUUCUUCCAUUUCUGUCAAAUGGAAUAUCUGCUUACACCUUCACUUGCUCUGUUUCAUGCAUUUAAGAGGAAGAGAUGAUAACAAGGUGCUCAUAUAUUUUCUUCCAUUUCUGUCAAAUGGAAUAUCUGCUUACACCUUCACUUGCUCUGUUUCAUGCAUUGUAGUGCAGUAUGUUGUUACUGGUUCAUUACAUAGUUGCUGAUGAUGUAGGAGACUCUUCGGCAACGGAUGGUAUGAGAGUUUAGGUGGUGGAAAUUGGACGUCUCUCGCUAUUAAAUUAGUCUGUUGCUAGCCCUUAAAUAUUCUUUCAUGGCGGUUGUGAAAUUUGUACCACUGACCAGUAAGAUGAUUUUCCGUGUAAUUGGACUAAGGACGUUCUAAAUCGAUGAUAAAAGAUUUACAUAGAUAUACCUAAUUACAAACAAACAAAUAAAAAAAUACGGUGCUAUUCCACCUUCAAAAUAUAGCAACAAAAUCAUCGCAUAAUAUGUGCUACCUCCAACAAAAUCCACAAAGGGAUUUUAAAGAUAUGAUUCUUCUUAUCUUUUCU